rnacentral:lncRNA from 1 species
GUGAGAGCGGCUCGCAGCGCCCGGAGAUCCUCGGCCCGUGCGUAGGGGUGGGGAGGGACCAGCCCCGGGGCUGUGGGCAGGGAAUGUCCCCAGUCCCAUCGCUGCGAUGCUGAAGGAAUUUUGGUUCCUAUGAAACCACUGCAAAAAUAUCACCAGCCCCAAAGGGGCAGGAGGUGGAACUGGAGUUUAAACACCAGCCAGGCCAGCUUAAACGGGUUUCAAAGUUGCAAACUUGUAAGGCAGCGUUUUCACGGCUGGAUCCAGCCCAGCGUUUUGUGUUUGUCUCCUAAAAACAGCCUCGGGGACAUCUCAGCACCUUCUCUUUGCCAGCAUGACUUGAUGAUAACACACAAAAAGGUGUCAGUGUUGGAGCAGCAUCUUCCAGAGGGAAGUGGAUGAGUUAACCCCUCUCCCACAGAAGCACAGGCUGUGUUGGAUGAUGUUGAAGUGAAGGGAGCGACCCACCUUUGUUGGUUCAGCAUCUGACUCUGAUUUAUUGAUCAACCAGGCACUUUUUAUAACCGUGUUAAUUCACUUCAUGCAUAUUGCAAAAUCUGAGCUCCUGACAGGCUGUAGAGAAAACAUCAGCUCCUCCUUUUGUUUGCAAUACCUGAAGUUUGUUUAUUGAAACCAAGAUCAGUGUUCUCACCAUGAUAUGAAAAGUUCUCAAAACCUUCAUAUCUGUUCCCAGAGCAGCCAAGGACAGAAUAUUGCCUGUUUUUGAGGAAAUGGUCUGAGAAUCUUGUUGUUUAUAUAAAAGGUGGCUGAGAAUCUAAUUAUUUACAUGAUUAAGCCUGGGAAAGGCUGCUUUUUCCCUUAGCUGAAUACCUUCAUGGCCUCUUUCUUUAAGCCAUGCUUGAGCUAGGCUCUCCACAGGAUGAGAUGGACACAAAUCACAGAGACAACUGAGAAGCUCCACGAGGAUGUGCCUGGUUUGGUGUGUUCUGUGUGCUCACAUUCCCAGAGUGAUAACAACAUCACGUGGUUGGGCAAAAUCUCCUCCCUGUGCAGAACAUCCCCAUCUCCUGCAUCCUGGUUUGAAAUGGAUCCAGGGGAUUCUGAAAAUGAAAAUUUCCACAGUAUUAUUGCUAAUGAAGCCUAAUUAAUUUUGGAUGUAAAUGUGCCAAGCUUCUGCAGUUGUGUGCAGCCCCAUUAAAGGAAAACUCAUGGCAGUUUUAUCUGAAAAUUAUCAGAGGAACGGGGUUUGUUGAGUUCCUUCUUAGACUGUGGACUUCUCCCUUCUUCACCUCUUGAACUCAGCUAAGUUAAAGGAAAUGUCACAGCCUUUUAAAACAGCUGCCUGAAAUAUAGGAGGAAAUGAGGGAAACAGAGAGAUGGGAGAAAAUUCCUGCACUGCUCCUGACCUCCAUGGCUUUCGUGGACUGGAGUGGGAACUUCAGCUAUUUCCACCAGAUUCUGUGUUGCAAUCUGGAUGUUCUCAGCAGGUUAGAAACCAUGUUCAAGUGCACUGUGACAGUUCUCCUCUUAGUGUGGACUGUGCCAUUUAAAGGCCACCCAGGGUGACAGAGACCAGCCAGAACAUCACAUUUCUCUGAGAACUCUGACACUUUAUUUUUUCCCUUCCCACAGCAGCCAUGUGGUCCUGCUGACUCCAUUCAACCAGCACAGCUGGACUGGGGCACUCAGCUCAUCCUUCAUGACAAAAAUUUCCACUUUCCUCCAGAUCUGGAGCUUGUUUGCCAUCCUGCCUGGAUUUCUGAACCCUCUGGGCCAUUAUGAACAACACCCGUCCUGGAAACACAACCUUAAUUCCCAAUCUCCUUAUGAGAGAGGAAGGGGGAAUAUGGUAAACCCCACCUCAAAAUGCUGCUUUUUAACCCAGAGUGAGGAAUUGUCAUUUCCAAAAGCACACAUGAGGAAAACAGCAGUAGCAGAGUGAGCUUUGGAAUUUGUCCAGGCGUUAAAGAUUUUAGGAAUGCUACGUGCUCUGUGUCACAUGUGUCCCCCUGAAUGGGACAGGGAACCUGGACCGUGCUGGGCAUGACCUGAGAAAUGCCUCAGCCAGCUACACAAACUCUGGGCUGUGUGGACAGAGAGGGACAUGAUCAAUAUUGGAUCAUUUUGGUGACAAACGUGACAUUUCCCAUCUGAAAACAUUUAAUUAUUGCUCAGGUUGAGGUCACUGCUGUGCUUUGUGCCUCCCCACCAGCACACUCCAUUUCCAAACUCGCCCUUAUAAAACCCAGCUGUUGCACAUCCAACUUUUUCUGGGAUAUAUAUAUAUAUAUAUAUCUCCCAGAAAAAAAAAUCUCCAUAUAUAUCCAUAAAUACCCCCGUGGAUGUGGAGCCAGUCCAUGAGAGCAGCAUUGUCUAGCCCCAGUGGUGUGGCUGGCAGGCAGCCAGGCAGCAAGUGGGUACCUGUGAGCUGUGCCAGCAGCAAGCUCAUCCUUCUGGAAAGGGCUGUGCUGGGAAGUGGGUGAGCUCAAGAAAAUGCAUUUGAGCUUCUGGGCACUAUUGAUUUGUCUUGAUGUAUUUUAUUCAUCUGCUUGAAGCACAAUGAAAACGUGCUGGUGGAAUGAGUCGGAGUUCAGGGGAGGGGGAGCCAGAAGUGGGGUUUGGAGCUGGCCGCCAUCACCAUCUUCCUCCUCUGCAGCUGCUCCAGAGCUCUACACAAACCCAGUUUCUGCUUCCCAGCAAGGCAGCAGAAGGGAUAUCUUUCAGCAGAGAAAUCUGGGGAGAAAAUGAAAAUAAAACUGGUUUGGUUGGGGUAAGAACA